GAGUAGCCAGUUGUGCCAAAGGACAAAG
rnacentral:piRNA from 1 species